rnacentral:rRNA from 1 species
AAUAGAUACCCAGGUAGUCCACGCCGUAAACGAUGGAUACUAGCUGUUUGAGCGCAAGUUUGAGUGGCUAAGCGAAAGUGAUAAGUAUCCCACCUGGGGAGUACGGGCGCAAGCCUGAAACUCAAAGGAAUUGACGGGGGCCCGCACAAGCGGUGGAGCAUGUGGUUUAAUUCGAUGAUACGCGAGGAACCUUACCAGGGCUUAAAUGUAGAUUGACGUAUUUGGAAACAGAUAUUUCUUCGGACAAUUUACAAGGUGCUGCAUGGUUGUCGUCAGCUCGUGCCGUGAGGUGUCAGGUUAAGUCCUAUAACGAGCGCAACCCCUGUUGUUAGUUGCCAGCGAGUAAUGUCGGGAACUCUAGCAAGACUGCCAGUGUAAACUGUGAGGAAGGUGGGGAUGACGUCAAAUCAUCGCGGCCCUUACGUCCUGGGCCACACACGUGCUACAAUGGCCGGUACAGAGAGCAGCCACUUAGCGAUAAGGAGCGAAUCUAUAAAGCCGGUCACAGUUCGGAUCGGAGUCUGA